rnacentral:lncRNA from 1 species
CCUGAGGAGCUGUGUGGUGGGGUGUGUGUGUUCUAAAAAUAAAGUUCGUUUCUUUUGACAAGUGGCUCCUGAAUUGUGCCCAGCCAGACUGCGGCAUUUGGUGGGCCGCACGGGGAACGACUGAGGGUAAGUGAUAAGGUAAACUGCUCGCCCCUGAGGGCAGGGCGAGAGGAUGGGUAGCCAUUUUAAGAUUCUUCUUUUGUUUUGUUUCGCUUUUGUUUUAAGUUGCCUGUCCCUGGAGAUGAGUGAGACAGAAGAAAAACCACUCACAUCUGAGGAAAAACUAUUUGCGUCUGAGGAACAGAUAGGGAGAA